GGCCCUAUGGUUGAAUGGAACAACGCUGUCUUCAAUUACGAAACCAAGCAAAGGGUUGAGACGGAGGACCUCGUUCGAUUCGAGGUAGGGCCA